AUUCCAAGAGUGGGUUGAGUUAGAUCGGGCUCAAGCGAAAGCUGUGAGUAUUUGAUCAGCUCCACUUCGAGACCAAAACCCUCCUUUUCUUCCCCCCUCCUGUGGCGGCGCUCACCUCCUUCCUUUUCCUAGGGUUAUCCUCCUCCGUCUCUGCCCUCUCCAGGGUCUGGGCCAUCUGAUCCUCCCGGAACAGCUCGCUUCUUCGAUCCCGUGGUCUACCUGCAGAUCUGCUGAUGGCGACCGUGGCUCUUCCCACUCCCGCCGACCAAUCUGCAGAUCUUAUGCAAAAGUUAUCUCUGGA